UGCCCCCUGUCCCGUCAAAGAACAUCUCAAAGGGCUCCCAUCGGCAUUCCGGUGGCACGUCGAGGGGAGUCCUGCCCCGUGGGGCGUAUGGUAUGGCCUUGUCCGUCUUCAGGCACAGCGCCGGCUCCCCGGGAGUGGCAGCCGGGAUGGUGCACGUC
rnacentral:SRP_RNA from 14 species